GGCGAACGGGUGAGGAACACGUGAGAAACCUGCCUCGGAUUUUGGGAUAACAAAUGGAAACGUUUGCUAAUACCAAAUAACGUCGGAGAGCCUCAUGGCUUUCUGACGAAAGGAAUUCCGAUUCGAGAGGGUCUCGCGGCCUAUCAGCUAGUUGGCGGGGUAAUGGCCCACCAAGGCAACGACGGGUAGCUGGUCUGAGAGGAUGGUCAGCCACACUGGGACUGAGACACGGCCCAGACUCCUACGGGAGGCAGCAGUGGGGAAUCUUGCGCAAUGGGCGAAAGCCUGACGCAGCAACGCCGCGUGCGGGAAGAAGGCUUUCGGGCUGUAAACCGCUUUCAGCAGGAACGAAAAUGACGGUACCUGCAGAAGAAGAAGCACCGGCUAACUAUGUGCCAGCAGCCGCGGUAAUACAUAGGGUGCAAGCGUUGUCCGGAAUUAUUGGGCGUAAAGAGCUCGUAGGUCGUUUGUCGCGUCGAUUGUGAAAAUCUGAGGCUCAACCUCAGACCUGCAGUCGAUACGGGCAAACUAGAGUGUGGUAGGGGAGACUGGAAUUCCUGGUGUAGCGGUGGAAUGCGCAGAUAUCAGGAGGAACACCAAUGGCGAAGGCAGGUCUCUGGGCCAUAACUGACACUGAGGAGCGAAAGUGCGGGGAGCGAACAGGAUUAGAUACCCUGGUAGUCCGCACCGUAAACGGUGGGCACUAGUUGUGGGAACCUUCCACGGUUUCCGCGACGCAGCAAACGCAUUAAGUGCCCCGCCUGGGGAGUACGAUCGCAAGAUUAAAACUCAAAGGAAUUGACGGGGCCCCGCACAAG
rnacentral:rRNA from 1 species